UUAUGUACAUGCCUACAUGAUAGCGUUAAUGUGCUAGAUCCCAAUAGAAAUAUGCAGUCAAGUGUGAUCGGGCUAGAGUAUUACUGGGAUGGGUGACCACCCAGGAAGUCCUAGUGUUUUACAUGCC
rfam:Picea glauca, whole genome shotgun sequence.